rnacentral:rRNA from 2 species
CAGUCGACGAUGAAGCCCUUCGGGGUGGAUUAGUGGCGAACGGGUGAGUAACACGUGGGCAAUCUGCCCUGCACUCUGGGACAAGCCCUGGAAACGGGGUCUAAUACCGGAUAUGAGCCUCUUCCGCAUGGUUGAGGUUGUAAAGCUCCGGCGGUGCAGGAUGAGCCCGCGGCCUAUCAGCUUGUUGGUGAGGUAACGGCUCACCAAGGCGACGACGGGUAGCCGGCCUGAGAGGGCGACCGGCCACACUGGGACUGAGACACGGCCCAGACUCCUACGGGAGGCAGCAGUGGGGAAUAUUGCACAAUGGGACGUAAAAGCCUGAYGCAGCGAYGYCGSGCUGGAGGGAUGGACGGCCUUCGAGGUUSUAARCCUCUUUCCAGCAKGGAAGAUAGCGAAAGCUGAUCGGUACCUGCAGGAAGAAGCGCCGGCUAWCUACGWGCCAGCAGCCGCCGGUAAUACGUAGGGCGCAAGCGUUGUCMGGAWUUAUUGGGCGUACAAGAGCUCGUAGGCGGCUUGUCACGUCGGUUGUGAAAGCCCGGGGCUUAACCCCGGGUCUGCAGUCGAUACGGGCAGGCUAGAGUUCGGUAGGGGAGAUCGGAAUUCCUGGUGUAGCGGUGAAAUGCGCAGAUAUCAGGAGGAACACCGGUGGCGAAGGCGGAUCUCUGGGCCGAUACUGACGCUGAGGAGCGAAAGCGUGGGGAGCGAACAGGAUUAGAUACCCUGGUAGUCCACGCCGUAAACGGUGGGCACUAGGUGUGGGCAACAUUCCACGUUGUCCGUGCCGCAGCUAACGCAUUAAGUGCCCCGCCUGGGGAGUACGGCCGCAAGGCUAAAACUCAAARGAAUUGACGGGGGCCCGCACAAGCGGCGGAGCAUGUGGCUUAAUUCKACGCAACGCGAAGAACCUUACCAAGGCUUGACAUACACCGGAAACGUCUGGGAGACAGGCGCCCCCUUGUGGUCGGUGUACAGGUGGUGCAUGGCUGUCGUCAGCUCGUGUCGUGAGAUGUUGGGUUAAGUCCCGCAACGAGCGCAACCCUUGUCCCGUGUUGCCAGCAGGCCCUUGUGGUGCUGGGGACUCACGGGAGACCGCCGGGGUCAACUCGGAGGAAGGUGGGGACGACGUCAAGUCAUCAUGCCCCUUAUGUCUUGGGCUGCACACGUGCUACAAUGGCCGGUACAAUGAGCUGCGAUACCGUGAGGUGGAGCGAAUCUCAAAAAGCCGGUCUCAGUUCGGAUUGGGGUCUGCAACUCGACCCCAUGAAGUCGGAGUCGCUAGUAAUCGCAGAUCAGCAUUGCUGCGGUGAAUACGUUCCCGGGCCUUGUACACACCGCCCGUCACGUCACGAAAGUCGGUAACACCCGAAGCCGGUGGCCCAACCCUUGUGGAGG